GGGGUCCCAAGAGGGAUAUGGGGGGUGCCAGGAAUCCUCAAGGUGUCCCCCAGGUGUCCCCCAAGUGUCCCCGAGGUGCCCCAAGUGUCCCAAGUGUCCCCCAGGUGUCCCCAGGUGUCCCCGAGGUGUCCCCGAGGUGUCUCCAAGGUGUCCCCAAGUGCCCCCAAGUGUCCCUGAGGUGUCUCCAGGUGUCCCCCAGGUGUCCCCCAGGUGUCCCCAGGUGUCCCUGAGGUGUCCCCAGGUGUCCCCAGGUGUCCCCGAAGUGUCCCCGAGGUGUCCCCGAGGUGUCCCCGAGGUGCCCCCAGGUGUCCCCAGGUGUCCCCGAGGUGUCCCCGAGGUGUCCCCAGGUGUCCCCAGGUGUCCCCCAGGUAUCCCCAGGUGUCCCCGAGGUGUCCCCGAGGUGUCCCCAGGUGUCCCCAGGUGUCCCCGAGGUGCCCCCAGGUGUCCCCAGGUGUCCCCAAGUGUCCCCG